rnacentral:rRNA from 1 species
GACGAACGCUGGCGGCGUGCUUAACACAUGCAAGUCGAACGGAAAGGCCCUGCUUGCAGGGUACUCGAGUGGCGAACGGGUGAGUAACUCGUGGGUGAUCUGCCCUGCACUUCGGGAUAAGCAUGGGAAACUGGGUCUAAUUCCGGAUAGGAGCCAUUUUUAGUGUGAUGGUUGGAAAGUUUUUUCGGUGUUGGAUGAGCUCGCGGCCUAUCAGCUUGUUGGUGGAGUAAUGGCCUACCAAGGCGGCGACGGGUAGCCGGCCUGAGAGGGUGGACGGCCACAUUGGGACUGAGAGACGGCCCAGACUCCGACGGGAGGCAGCAGUGGGGAAUAUUGCACAAUGGGCGCAAGCCUGAUGCAGCGACGCCGCGUGGGGGAUGACGGCCUUCGGGUUGUAAACUCCUUUCGCUAGGGACGAAGCUUUUUGUGACGGUACCUAGACAAGAAGCACCGGCUAACUACGUG